rnacentral:tRNA from 1 species
CCGUAGCUCAACGGGACAGAGCAGCGGCCUUCUAAGCCGCAGGUUGGGGGUUCGAGUCCUCCCGG